rnacentral:rRNA from 1 species
GAUGAACGCUGGCGGCGUGCCUAAUACAUGCAAGUCGAGCGAACAGACGAUGAGCUUGCUCCUCUGACGUUAGCGGGGGACGGGUGAGUAACACGUGGAUAACAUUCUUCUUUGACUGGGAUGACUACGUGAAACCGGAGCUACUACUAGCUCAUAUAUUCUACCGCAUGGUGCAAUAGUGAUAGACGGCUUGGCCGUCUGUUAUAGAUGGUUCCGGACCGCAUUAGCUAGUUGGUAAGGUAACGGCUUACCAAGGCAACGAUGCGUAGCUGACCUGAGAGGAUGAUCAGCCACACUGGAACUGAGACACGGUCCAGACUCCUACGGGAGGCAGCAGUAGGGAAUAUUCCGCAAUGGGCGAAAGCCUGACGGAGCAACGCCGCGUGAGUGAUGAAGGUCUUCGGGUCGUAAAACUCUGUUAUUGGGGAAGAACAACUGUGUAAGUAUAUAUGCCUGUCUUGACGGUACCUAAACAGAAAGCCCCGGCUAACUACGUG